rnacentral:rRNA from 1 species
UACGGGGGGGGCAAGCGUUGUUCGGAAUUACUGGGCGUAAAGGGCGCGUAGGCGGCCUGCUAAGUCGGACGUGAAAUCCCUCGGCUCAACCGAGGAACUGCGUCCGAUACUGGUGGGCUUGAAUCCGGGAGAGGGAUGUGGAAUUCCAGGUGUAGCGGUGGAAUGCGUAGAGAUCGGGAAGAACAUCGGUGGCGAAGGCGGUCUGCUGGGCCGUUGCUGACGCUGAGGCGCGACAGCGUGGGGAGCAAACAGG